rnacentral:rRNA from 1 species
AAUGAACGCUGGCGGCAGGCCUAACACAUGCAAGUCGAACGGGUCCUUCGGGACUAGUGGCGGACGGGUGAGUAACGCGUGGGAACGUGCCCUUUGCUACGGAAUAGCCCCGGGAAACUGGGAGUAAUACCGUAUAAGCCCUACGGGGGAAAGAUUUAUCGGCAAAGGAUCGGCCCGCGUUGGAUUAGGUAGUUGGUGGGGUAAUGGCCUACCAAGCCGACGAUCCAUAGCUGGUUUGAGAGGAUGAUCAGCCACACUGGGACUGAGACACGGCCCAGACUCCUACGGGAGGCAGCAGUGGGGAAUCUUAGACAAUGGGGGAAACCCUGAUCUAGCCAUGCCGCGUGAUCGAUGAAGGCCUUAGGGUUGUAAAGAUCUUUCAGGUGGGAAGAUAAUGACUGUACCACCAGAAGAAGCCCCGGCUAACUCCGUGUCAGCCGCCGCCGUAA